rnacentral:rRNA from 1 species
ACGAACGCUGGCGGCGUGCUUAACACAUGCAAGUCGAACGGAAAGGCCCUGCUUGCAGGGUACUCGAGUGGCGAACGGGUGAGUAACACGUGGGUGAUCUGCCCUGCACUUCGGGAUAAGCCUGGGAAACUGGGUCUAAUACCGGAUAGGAGCCAUUUUUAGUGUGAUGGUUGGAAAGUUUUUUCGGUGUAGGAUGAGCUCGCGGCCUAUCAGCUUGUUGGUGGGGUAAUGGCCUACCAAGGCGGCGACGGGUAGCCGGCCUGAGAGGGUGGACGGCCACAUUGGGACUGAGAUACGACCCAGACUCCUACGGGAGGCAGCAGUGGGGAAUAUUGCACAAUGGGCGCAAGCCUGAUGCAGCGACGCCGCGUGGGGGAUGACGGCCUUCGGGUUGUAAACUCCUUUCGCUAGGGACGAAGCUUUUUGUGACGGUACCUAGAUAAGAAGCACCGGCUAACUACGUG